rnacentral:rRNA from 1 species
GGAUGAACGCUAGCGGCAGGCUUAAUACAUGCAAGUCGAGGGGCAGCACGAUAUAGCAAUAUAUGGGUGGCGACCGGCAAACGGGUGCGGAACACGUACACAACCUUCCGGUGAGAGGGGGAUAGCCCAGAGAAAUUUGGAUUAAUACCCCAUAUUAUAAUGGUCAGGCAUCUGAUUAUUAUCAAAGGCUUCGGCCGCUUAUUGAUGGGUGUGCGUCUGAUUAGGUAGUUGGCGGGGUAGAGGCCCACCAAGCCUGCGAUCAGUAGCUGAUGUGAGAGCAUGAUCAGCCACACGGGCACUGAGACACGGGCCCGACUCCUACGGGAGGCAGCAGUAAGGAAUAUUGGACAAUGGACGCAAGUCUGAUCCAGCCAUGCCGCGUGAAGGAUGACUGCCCUCUGGGUUGUAAACUUCUUUUAUAGGGGAAGAAAGUUAUUUUUUUUAGGAUAUUUGACGGUACCCUAUGAAUAAGCACCGGCUAACUCCGU